UUUAUUCAGAAGUACAUUUAUAACAGAAUGGCUAUUAGAAUAUAUAAUAUUGAAAGAUUAAUUAGUUACAGUGUUUUGUGUCUGUUAAUGAGCGACUGUCUCCAGGUAAAUGAUGUGAGUGUGUUUGCAUAUUGAUCAGAUGCUUCAGUGCUCUGAGAGUGUUUAUAGUGCUGUGAGUUUAACACUUCAUCACUGACACACACAACAAUCUUCAUCAACAUGACCUUCAUCAUCAUCUUCAUCUGGACUCUUUCAUACUGCUUUAUACUACAAGUGGUGCUCGCUGCUUCCAUGGUGGUGAGAGCGUUCUGUAACGACUGUGUAAGGAGUGGCAGCAAGCAAGGGCUAGGUAAAUGAUAUUUAAUGAGAAUAAUGAGACAAUACAAAAAUGAGACACAAAUAACGCUGGGAGGAAUGCACAGUCCAUGAUGGUGGUGAUGAAUGAUGAAUCCGGAAGGUGGAGGUGAGUUGGCAGCAGGAGAGGGUGACACAGGAACUGCGGGGAAGCGAGCCGAAGAAUUGAACCUACAACCAACAGAAAUGACUUUCAUCACCAUAUUGAUCUGGACUCUGACUGUAUUAUGUAGAGAAUCUAUUGGGCAGGUGACAGUGACUCAAACUCCCUCAGUGCUGCUCGCUCAAACUGGACAAUCAGUCACUGUGACCUGUACAUUUAACAGAGAUCCAGCCUGCUGUUGUAAUGGAAAGCAUUGUCUCAGCUGGUACUUACAGAAACCUGGAGAAGCUCCUAAACUCCUGAUUUAUGGAACAAGCAGCCGUCAGUCAGGAACUCCAUCUAGAUUCAGUGGCAGUGGAUCUAACAGUGAUUUCACUCUGACCAUCAGUGGAGUCCAGACUGAAGAUGCUGGACAUUAUUACUGUCAGAGUUUUCAUUGCAGAACAAAUUCUUAUGGUAGCUGUGGGGGUGAUCAUGUGUUCACACAGUGAUUGUGAGUCGUACAAAAACCUGUGUCAGUCAGAGUCACAGUGACUGAACUGAUGCUGCAGCUGAUCAAACACUAUCACUCACUCUACAGAGAAGGUUUUCAUGGAUAUUAAAUUAAACAAAGUGUACAUUGAGUCACCCACUUGCUAACUACUUUAUCGUAUUAAAUCUUUAUCUUAUUAAACUGAUCCAACACUAAAGGUGUAUAUCUGUGAGGUUCAUCAUUUGACAGCAUGUUCUUGUUUCAUCAUGAAUCUGCAGGUGUUUUCACGCCCCACUGAGUGAAGUUUAUUUGAGGAAACACCUUGAUCCAAUGAAUGACUCGAAAAAAUGGCAAUAAACAACAGGGAGACAAUAAGUAACAAUUGUAUUUUAUUUAAAUUUUAAUAGAAUCAGGACUGAAUGAUAAAGCACACACAUAUGUUCUUGUAUGAAGCACACAAAGCAGAGCAGAUGCAGAUGCGAGCGACUGAAGCUGGAUGUGGAGAAUGAAGGAGUCGCUCAUGUGCUGUUAGUCUCCAUGUGAGACAUGAGUGAGAAGAGCAGCAGAU